UACGGGGGGGGCAAGCGUUGUUCGGAAUUACUGGGCGUAAAGGGCGCGUAGGCGGCCUGCUAAGUCGGAUGUGAAAUCCCUCGGCUCAACCGAGGAACUGCAUCCGAUACUGGCGGGCUUGAAUCCGGGAGAGGGAUGUGGAAUUCCAGGUGUAGCGGUGAAAUGCGUAGAUAUCUGGAGGAACACCGGUGGCGAAGGCGGCAUCCUGGACCGGUAUUGACGCUGAGGCGCGAAAGCAUGGGGAGCGAACAGG
rnacentral:rRNA from 1 species